CACACAAACCCAUCUAUCUAGCUACAUGUCCUGCCAGGUAGACACACAAACCCAUCUAUCUAGCUACAUGUCCUGCCAGGUAGACACACAAACCCAUCUAUCUAGCUACAUGUCUUGCCAGGUAGACACACAUCCAUACAAACCCAUCUAUCUAGCUACAUGUCCUGCCAGGUAGACACACAUCCAUACAAACCCAUCUAUCUAGCUACAUGUCCUGCCAGGUAGACACAUCCAUACAAACCCAUCUAUCUAGCUACAUGCCCUGCCAGGUAGACACACAAACCCAUCUAUCUAGCUACAUGACCUGCCAGGUAGACACACAUCCAUACAAACCCAUCUAUCUAGCUACAUGUCCUGCGAGGUAGACACACAUCCACACAAACCCAUCUAUCUAGCUACAUGUCCUGCCAGGUAGACACACAUCCACACAAACCCAUCUAUCUAGCUACAUGACCUGCCAGGUAAACACACAUCCAUACAAACCCAUCUAUCUAGCUACAUGCCCUGCCAGGUAGACACACAAACCCAUCUAUCUAGCUACAUGUCCUGCCAGGUAGACACACAUCCAUACAAACCCAUCUAUCUAGCUACAUGCCCUGCCAGGUAGACACACAAACCCAUCUAUCUAGCUACAUGUCCUGCCAGGUAGACACACAUCCACACAAACCCAUCUAUCUAGCUACAUGUCCUGCCAGGUAGACACACAUCCAUACAAACCCAUCUAUCUAGCUACAUGCCCUGCCAGGUAGACACACAAACCCAUCUAUCUAGCUACAUGUCCUGCAAGGUAGACACACAUCCACACAAACCCAUCUAUCUAGCUACAUGCCCUGCCAGGUAGACACACAUCCACACAAACCCAUCUAUCUAGCUACAUGUCCUGCCAGGUAGACACACAAACCCAUCUAUCUAGCUACAUGUCCUGCCAGGUAGACACACAAACCCAUCUAUCUAGCUACAUGUCCUGCCAGGUAGACACACAAACCCAUCUGCCUAGCUACAUGUCCUGCCAGGUAGACACACAAACCCAUCUACCUAGCUACAUGUCCUGCCAGGUAGACACACAAACCCAUCUAUCUAGCUACAUGUCCUGCCAGGUAGACACACAAACCCAUCUAUCUAGCUACAUGUCUUGCCAGGUAGACACACAAACCCAUCUAUCUAGCUACAUGUCUUGCCAGGUAGACACACAUCCAUACAAACCCAUCUAUCUAGCUACAUGUCCUGCCAGGUAGACACACAUCCACACAAACCCAUCUAUCUAGCUACAUGCCCUGCCAGGUGUAAACACAUCCAUACAAACCCAUCUAUCUAGCUACAUGUCCUGCCAGGUAGACACACAAACCCAUCUAUCUAGCUACAUGUCCUGCCAGGUAGACACACAAACCCAUCUACCUAGCUACAUGUCCUGCCAGGUAGACACACAAACCCAUCUAUCUAGCUACAUGUCCUGCCAGGUAGACACACAAACCCAUCUACCUAGCUACAUGUCCUGCCAGGUAGACACACAAACCCAUCUACCUAGCUACAUGCUAACAAAACAAUAUGCUACCAUCUCUGAAGAUAUAAGAGCUGUGUAUUUUUGUUGUAAGUUAGUAUAUUCUGCCAUUGCU